UGGGGAAUAUUGGACAAUGGGCGCAAGCCUGAUCCAGCAAUGCCGCGUGAGUGAUGAAGGCCUUAGGGUUGUAAAGCUCUUUCGCACGCGACGAUGAUGACGGUAGCGUGAGAAGAAGCCCCGGCUAACUUCGUGCCAGCAGCCGCGGUAAUACGAAGGGGGCUAGCGUUGUUCGGAAUUACUGGGCGUAAAGGGCGCGUAGGCGGCCUGUUUAGUCAGAAGUGAAAGCCCCGGGCUCAACCUGGGAAUAGCUUUUGAUACUGGCAGGCUUGAGUUCCGGAGAGGAUGGUGGAAUUCCCAGUGUAGAGGUGAAAUUCGUAGAUAUUGGGAAGAACACCGGUGGCGAAGGCGGCCAUCUGGACGGACACUGACGCUGAGGCGCGAAAGCGUGGGGAGCAAACAGAUUAGAUACCCUGGUAGUCCACGCCGUAAACGAUGAAUGCUAGACGUCGGGGUGCAUGCACUUCGGUGUCGCCGCUAACGCAUUAAGCAUUCCGCCUGGGGAGUACGGCCGCAAGG
rnacentral:rRNA from 1 species